ensembl:lncRNA
CAUCGUUGUUCAUGCUUUUUUCUGUUCUCUUUACAGCUUUUUCUCUACACAUUCAACUACACAAGUCUGCAGUGCUGCCACGCAUGACAAUCCACCAUGGUGAAACCAGAGGCACACAAAGCACGUAUUUGAACAGAGCAUUAAGAUUUGAGAAGACUGGGUGGAAAUUAUGUGGUGACUAUGGGAAGAAAAAAAAAAGAAAAAAAAAAAAAGGAAGAAAAAGAAAAGACAGAUCUCUGGUGCAUGCAUCAGUGUAUUUACAGACACUGGUGAGACCUCUUCUGAGCUGCCUUCUCUCCAGACUAAGCACUCCCAGCUCUUUCAGCCUUUCCUCAGAGGAGGAGUGCUCCAGGAUCUCCAUCAUCUUCAGCUCUCUUCAUAAUGUUCCUCAUACUGGGGAGACCAGAACUGGACACAGAACUCUAGGUAUAGCCUCACAAGUGCUGAGCAAAGGCCAAGGAUCACCUUCCUCAGCUGGCUGGCAAUACUCCUGAUGCAGCCCAGGAUAUCAUUGGCCUUCUUUGCUGCAAGGGCACGUUGCUGGCUCAUGUUCAACUUGGUGUCCAGCAAGACCCCCAGAGCCUUUUCUGCAGUUACUUUCUAGAUUCUUUUACCUCUCUCCUAAUGAACAGGACUAAUUUUAAGAGUUCGUAGCAAUCAAGUAUGAUUUAGAGAGAUCCUGUAAGAAACAUUAUCACUGCUAAUUAUAAAGGCAGAAAUUUGGUGUCCCUGUUCAUUGCAGGAGAGUUGGCCUUCGGUGGCCCCUUCCAAUUCUAAGAAUUCUAUGAUCCUAUGAUCUCCAUUUUGUCUGAAGAGAAUUUCUACAGAGGUUGAAAUGAACGUCCAGAGGAAAUCUCUCACCACUGUCUGAUUUCAUUGCCUAACGCCACCAGUAGAGGCAAUUACAGCACUGUGGUGAACAGGUUUACUAGCAUUCCCACAGUCAAAACACCCAGCACCACGGCUCAGAGAGCUCCAAACCCAGGCGGUGCCAGAGCGUCGGCACCGCCACGGUGGGAAGGACUGCAGGAUGGUCGUGCAGCGACGGGUGCGUCCCGCUUCCUGGGGAGCGGAUGCCAGGAGGGAAGCACGGCUCUCGUUUGAACCGUAGUCCUGCAAAGUGGAUCACAGGGUCAGACAAGCCCCUCAGACACCUCUCUGUUUCCGGCAUAAAGCACCGCAAAAGGGGAGGGAAAGGAGACAAAUUCCCGCAAAUCGCUGGAAGCCGGACGUUACACUGGAAAACACUUGGGAAGCAAUUCUGAUCUCCAGGAUGUGCGGCGUACCUCAGCUUGCUUCCCCGCCCCUCCCGUCCCGAGGACCCUCUUGACAGGGUUGUCCCGCAGAACGUUCUGCGCCAGGGCUCGGGGAGGGCAUCCUGUCGGGAUGCCGCAGCCCUGCCCGGAGAUCCACGGCGCCGGUCACCAAGCGAGCGUUGCG